UAUGAACGCUGGCGGCGUGCCUAAUACAUGCAAGUCGAGCGAACGGACGAGAAGCUUGCUUCUCUGAUGUUAGCGGCGGACGGGUGAGUAACACGUGGAUAACCUACCUAUAAGACUGGGAUAACUUCGGGAAACCGUAGCUAAUACCGGAUAAUAUUUUGAACCGCAUGGUUCAAAAGUGAAAGACGGCCUUGCUGUCACUUAUAGAUGGAUCCGCGCUGCAUUAGCUAGUUGGUAAGGUAACGGCUUACCAAGGCAACGAUGCAUAGCCGACCUGAGAGGGUGAUCGGCCACACUGGAACUGAGACACGGUCCAGACUCCUACGGGAGGCAGCAGUAGGGAAUCUUCCGCAAAGGGCGAAAGCCUGACGGAGCAACGCCGCGUGAGUGAUGAAGGUCUUCGGAUCGUAAAACUCUGUUAUUAGGGAAGAACAUAUGUGUAAGUAACUGUGCACAUCUUGACGGUACCUAAUCAGAAAGCCACGGCUAACUACGUG
rnacentral:rRNA from 1 species